GGAGAGAAGGAAAGGUAAGAAAAUUUAGGAAUGAAUAUGAAUUGUUGACUUACCCAAAUGAAAUUCUUACGCAACUCCUCCUAAAUUGAAAAAGCAUAAUAAUCCAAUUGAAAACCAUUAUACCCCUAAGUCGUGACCAUCAACACCCAGCAACGAUCGCUCCGAUCUCGUCGAUUUCUGGCCAAUCCACAUGAGCUCAUCCACGACUCAUUAGUGUGUUCAAGCUAUCUCCGACCAGACACUACAGAGGCCAUUACACAUAGCAAAGAAGAGUGAAGCUCCACUUUUCCCAAAUCUGAGAAACCUGUUCCAUUCGAAGAUGCGUGAAGCUCUAGGGCCUAACCCAUAUCCCUGAAGUGGAAGGAAAAACGUAUGAUGAUGUACAUCGGGGGGGUCGGAUAAUGAGAACGUUACGGAAACCGUGAACCUAUGGGGAGAUGGUGUAAUUGUGCAUGAGUUGGGCAUGCUGUUCAAAGACGAGAAAGAGAUAUUUCAAUUGCACAAAAAGUAUACUCCAAUGAAGAAAAGGAGUUCAAAAAAGGGGGAUGAUGGAGUUUUGAGGUAUGUGACUUUGACAUGUAGUCGCAAAGGCCGAAGAAGCAUGAAGCAAGUCCUAAAGUGAGCCAUUUAUUGCUGGACCGAAUUGGAUGCAGUACAUAUUUGUCUAUUUUUUGUGGUUUAUGCUGGAACAAAUACUGUAUGGAUGAUGGUGCUUCAAUUUUUUUCUAUGUGAAGGACAUUUGCUUGUUACAAAAAGGUUCUCUAAGGAUUUAGUCCUAUUUUUUAAUUAGAAGGUAAUUUGUAAAUUACAUGUAGUAGACUUGCCUACAUAUUUUUGUACACUAUAUAGGAAAAUAGAGAAUGGGCACCUUCUUAGUUUACAUU